UGCCAGCCGCCGCGGUAAUACGAAGGUCCCAAGCGUUGUUCGGAAUCACUGGGCGUAAAGCGUACGUAGGCGGAUUAAUAAGUUAGAGGUGAAAUCCCAGGGCUCAACCCUGGAACUGCCAUCAAAACUUUUUAGCUAGAGUAUGAUAGAGGAAAGCAGAAUUUCUAGUGUAGAGGUGAAAUUCGUAGAUAUUAGAAAGAAUACCAAUUGCGAAGGCAGCUUUCUGGAUCAUUACUGACACUGAGGAACGAAAGCAUGGGUAGCGAAGAGGAUUAGAUA
rnacentral:rRNA from 1 species